rnacentral:lncRNA from 1 species
AGCUCUAUUUCAGCCACUGUGAAAAAAGAGAUUAUUCCUAUUAAGGUGGGGAAUCCCAUCAAGGAUGGAUCACGUCACCAAAUACAGAUAAAUCCCAUGGAAAUGCAGCCCCUGCUCAUCACCCUGAUAAUCUACUGGAGAAAGUGAGCCACCGACCUGGGAUUCAUCUUUUUGGACAGCAGUUUGCAGGUGUAAAAGGGAUGGCAGAGGUGAUACCACGAUGCCCAAACUGAGCACAGCUGAGUUACGGGGUGCAGCGUAACCUCACGCAGAGGAGACUGGUUCAUUGAAGAUACCAUCUGUAGGACUGGUCCAAAGGAAGGUUUUACUGUGAGUGUUUUGAGUCUGUUCUCUGCCAGCUGAAGUAACUUUGCUCCACACUGAGACAGCUGUGAGCAAGGGAAGAGCCCACAACACUGGCUGCAUUUACACAUUGACACUUGGAACCAAGCUAA